rnacentral:rRNA from 1 species
CCUUAAGUAAUUGCGAAUGAACAAGGAAAUGCUCAGCUUGAAAAAUGGGGCCUUCGGCUUUGAAUUGUAAUUUUGAAAUGUAUUGCCAAUGGAGGCGCAGGUGCAAGCCUAUUGAAAGAAAGCGUCAAGGAGGGUGAGAUUCCUUUUUGUCAUUUGCAGUCCUCCGUGCACGGUAUAUAUUUGACGAGUCACACUCCUCGGCAUUGGAAUGCAAAGUGGGUGGUAAAUUCCAUGUAAAGGUAAAUAUAUUAUUGAGACUGAUAGCAAACAAGUACCAUGAGGGAAAUAUGAAAAGGACUUUGAAAAGAGAAUUAAAAGAGUCUGCAUUUGCUGAACAGAAAGCAAACAGAAUUGAUCUUGCUUGGUGAGAUUGUUGCGCCUACUCUUGCAUUUCUAUGUUGGAUGUGGGUGCGAUGGUUCUUGCCUUGAAUGUCAGCUUCUAUUUCUGCAAAUCAUUACCCUUGCACAUGAAUGGUAAUUUGCCUGCGGGUAUUGGAAUGCAUGUGUUUGCAAUGAUUUGUGAUUUGAUACAUGUGUCUGGUGGUACUUGUGUGUGUUCCUUUGUCAAAGGGGAAGGCUUGCUUCCUUGAGCACCACAAGCCCUUGCACAAUGUUGCUGGCAAAAUGUUUCUGCUUGACCCGUCUUGAAACACGGACCAAGGAGUCUAACAGAUGUGCAAGUUCGUGGGUGGGCAAACCUUUUUGCGCAAUGAAAGUAUUGGCUGGGAUACUUGCACCAGCAGCCGACCGAUUAGCAGACAGAGGUUUGAGUUUGAGCAUAUCUAUUAGGACCCGAAAGAUGGUGAACUAUGCCUGAACAGAAUGAAUUCAGAGGAAACUCUGAUGGAGGUUCGUAUCGAUACUGACGUGCAAAUCGUUCGUCAUACUUGGGUAUAGGGGCGAAAGACUAAUCGAACCAUCUAGUAGCUGGUUCCCUCCGAAGUUUCCCUCAGGAUAGCUGGAGUUGCACAGUUUUAUCAGGUAAAGCGAAUGAUUAGAGGAAUUGGGGACACGCUGUCCUUGACCUAUUCUCAAACUUUAAAUGGGUAAGAUGCAAUGGUUGCUUUAUUGAACUUUUGGAAUAAAUGGCAAUAUCAGGUGGGCCAUUUUUGGUAAGCAGAACUGGCGAUGAGGGAUGAACCUAACGUUGGGUUAAGGUGCUUAAUUGCUUGCUCAUUAGAUACCAGAAAGGGUGUUGGUUCAUUUUAACAGCAGGACGGUGGUCAUGGAAGUCGAAAUCCGCUAAGGAGUGUGUAACAACUCACCUGCCGAAUGGACUAGCCCCGAAAAUGGAUGGCGCUCAAGCGGGUGACCGAUACCCAACCACUGUUGCAAAAAGUAUCAGUGUGUAGGAGGGCAUGGCGGUUUGUGAUGCAGC